rnacentral:tRNA from 1 species
GCCGACUACGAUUGGUGUAGUGGUUAGUGACCCUGACUGCUGAGCCGAAGGUCCCGGGUUCGAUUCCCGGCUGGGGCA